ensembl:snRNA U6 U6 spliceosomal RNA
GUGCUCUCUUCAGCAGCACACAUACUAAAAUUGGAACCAUACAGAGAAGAUUAGUAUGGCCCCUGAGCUAGGAUGACACGUAAAUUCAUGAUGCAUUCCAUAUUAAG